UACGUAGGGGCCUAGCGUUGUCCGGAAUCAUUGGGCGUAAAGCGCGUGUAGGCGGCCCGGUAAGUCCGCUGUGAAAGUCCAGGGCUCAACCCUGGGAUGCCGGUGGAUACUGUCGGGCUCGAGUCCGGAAGAGGCGAGUGGAAUUCCUGGUGUAGCGGUGAAAUGCGCAGAUAUCAGGAGGAACACCAAUGGCGAAGGCAGCUCGCUGGGACGUGACUGACGCUGAGACGCGAAAGCGUGGGGAGCAAACAGG
rnacentral:rRNA from 1 species